rnacentral:lncRNA from 1 species
ACACUAUCCUUUCACGGAGAUUAGAGGUUGCUCCCUGGGGCAGGAAAGGGGCUUCCAGAGGCAGAUACUCACAAGUCACUGCUGCCUUCUAGUCUCCUCUGGCUGUCUGCUUGGUCCCUGGACCUGUCCCUAAACCAACCAGUUACACAGCCUUCUAAUUGUGGAGAUACGGCGUGCAUCUGGAAGAUCAAACCAGAUCUACAUGUACACGAAUGGAAAACGGGAUAGACUCUGAAGGCUUGAGAGCUGCCAGGAACCAGGAAUGCUUCAAACUUGAGCCGUUUCUGCCCCGCUAGAGCUACGCUGGCUUCUAACCACUUCAAACACACAGUGGAGUGCCCAAAGCAAUGUAACCUUGCUGGCUGUAGAAGUCUGCAAAACCAGAGAAAAACUGGAGUCAGCUGGCCUCAGAGAUGGAGGAUCACACAAGAGGACACUCUACAACCUAAGUCUACUUUCUAUAAGGGUUUGGACUGUCAACAUCAAGUGAAAUUUCUCAAGAACCAACAGGAUUGGGGUAAGAAAGUCCCUGCUGGCCCAUGCAGGCACAGGCAUGCACACUGGGGCUGAGGAGAAUUCUGGAAUCAAGGAGGCAGCUGAACAAGACACAGCUGUUUGGAGACCAGCAUUCUGGGGAAGGCCCCUCUCUGUACAGCCCAGGAGGGAAUCUCUGAAUAGUUGCACUCUUGGACUGCGCUCAGUGUUCCUCAUCAGCUGGAGGCCGCAUCAUCAGCUUCAUUUUGUUGCCUCUGUCAUUGUUUUGGAGCCUUAGAGCGUGAACGUGCCUGGCCCCCUGCCAUGGCUGCAGGAGUGGAGCCAGGGUGUGUACUGCAGCCCAGAGGAGGAGCCUCACACUCUUCUGCAAAAAGAUUCCAGGGAGGAAAUCUGGAAAGUCUUUUCAAAACAACUCACAAAGGAAGGAGAGCUGCCAACUCUUGCAGGGUUGGUUUGCCCUAAUAAAUGAUCAGUUAC